rnacentral:rRNA from 1 species
AUCCUCCAAGGCUAAAUACUCCUGAUUGACCGAUAGUGAACCAGUACCGUGAGGGAAAGGCGAAAAGAACCCCGGCGAGGGGAGUGAAAAAGAACCUGAAACCGUGUACGUACAAGCAGUAGGAGCCCCAUCACUCAAGUGCCUCGCACUGAGUGAUGCAAGAACAUCACCGAAAAUAGCGCCGAAUUUGCUAACAAGGUUGGUCGAUUUUUUCAAGCCGUCGCGCAGUGUACCUAGAAGUACACGAGCAACGGAAGUUAAAAAAUCGGGCAAGAUUGAACGCAAAGGCAAGCGGGACAUUUGAGGAUGGGGUGACUGCGUACCUUUUGUAUAAUGGGUCAGCGACUUAUAUUCUGUAGCAAGGUUAACCGCAUAGGGGAGCCGUAGGGAAACCGAGUCUUAACUGGGCGAAUGAGUUGCAGGGUAUAGACCCGAAACCCGGUGAUCUAUCCAUGGGCAGGUUGAAGGUUGGGUAACACUAACUGGAGGACCGAACCGA